UGAGGAAUAUUGGUCAAUGGGCGGAAGCCUGAACCAGCCAAGUAGCGUGCAGGAUGACGGCCCUAUGGGUUGUAAACUGCUUUUAUACAGGGAUAAAGUUAGUCACGUGUGGCUAUUUGCAGGUACUGUAUGAAUAAGGACCGGCUAAUUCCGUG
rnacentral:rRNA from 1 species